GCACUCCAAUGCAUCCUGUGUGCGUCUUCAUGAGUUAACCACACAGACAAUGCAAUGAAUCAAAUUCAACCUGAAUGAUAAAAUAAAAAAAUACUGGUGUUGCAUCAAA